UUUACCUACAUAACAAAGUUGCACAUGUACCCAUGAACUUAAGAGUUAAAAAAUUCAUUAUGACUGUGUUUGUCAAUUUCUGCCUGGAGCCUCUUUUCUUCAUCAAUAUAACUUAUCUGUCAUGUAUCCCAUUUCCUGAUCUUGGUUUUCCAAAGUGACAGUUACCUUUUCAGUCGACUUACCCUAAAAUGUUAUUGAUUUAAAAGGAAUUAAUAGGUUGUCUGAAUCCACAGGCUAUAUCUAGAAACACCCUCAACUUACAAACAGGUUCAGUUCUGAAAGAUUCUAUUCGUAAGUGUAAGAGACCACUAAUCCCUUUUGUGGCCAUAUUUAAUGUGCUUUUGGUCUGUUGUGUAUCUCUGCUCAUAUUUAUAGCCAAUGGCAUCAAUGAGAGUUCCAGUGUUGAGACUGUAAUUAAGGGACCUUCUCAAAUUGUAUGUCUCCUCCGCUAUGAGGAAUAGAUGAAAGGUAUGUUGAGUCCUGGCAGACACAUACAUGCAAAUCUCCAUUUAAGAAAGGUGUCCUUGCUUGGCAAUGAGAAGUAUGGAUAGCUGAUAGCCCCCAGCUAUUAUCUCCUUCCAGUCAACUCUAGCUUUUGAGCCAAAGUUGUGCUUUUUCUGGGGUGGCACUGACCAAAAACUGAGCAGCACAGUGGUACAAGGGCUUUCUGCCCAAUGCGGGACACCCCUAAAGGGCAAUCUGUACUCUGCAGUACCCAACUGAACCACCAGAUCUGUGUAUUGUCUGAAGGCUCUCCCUACCCAAUUCUACUUUCCCCCUCUUCCUUUCACACGUUUUACUUUACAAUGCAUCUUCUACAUUGCUGACUCAGUCUUUGCAUCUACUUCCCAGAGGACUCAGCUGAUACCGGAACUAACUAAAAAUGUCCAUUCCAGUCUAAUUCUCUUACUUCCUCUCCAUGCUGUGUCAGUAAUCCUUCUGUAAGAUUGAAGAUUUUGUUUCAACAUUGGAAUCAGUUUGUAUCUCAACCUGUGAAGUGAUGCACCUAAUAGAUUUGUCAACAGGGUCAAGAAACCGUGGGUUCAGAAUACUCGUGCAAACCUUACUCAGUCUCAUGGUAUUCUCCCUGAGUAAACUCAAUAGCAAUGAGGCACAAGUGUUAUAUUACAGAUGCCAUUGAUCUCUUAUAAGGUACUGGAAGGAAAUGAUUCAUUGAUUCCAUUCAGGAAUGCCACUCCACAUCCCUAGGAGGAGAAUCUGUGCAGGGAGAAGCAGAUUUUUAAUCAGUUUUGAUUCCGAAUGGGAAGUGUUUGUUUUGAGAUCUUGGACUCCAUCUAUAUCUUUACUAUUCUUAAAAUUGUUAUGAAUAAAAAAGGAAGAUUAGGAAACUGUGUUUGGGUAGAAAAGGAGAGGCAGAGUGAAGUGGUGUUAAUUCCAAGGCAAGAGGCACCUGGAUUGCUAAGAAGCUUGAAGGAAGAAAUGAGGAUAACAGCAAAAUCUGCCCUUAGAUUACCUGCAUCAUUCAUAGGAAUGACAUCAUGUGACCUAAAUGCACAUAAAGAUGUUCUCACCAUCCACUUCAUAGGAAUGUAUAGACUUUUAGAAUUCUAGCUUCACUCCAGUAGCAAUAUCCCAACAUAAUUGUGGAUAUACCACGAAUACACAGGGUAAGUAAAUAUUAUGAGAUGGAGGUAAGUGAUGUUAUCAGGCUAGUGCUGAUGGCUUGGUGGGAAACAUCCAAUAUGGCGUUUCUAAAGAGUGGAUCAAAUAUGCCAUUCAUCACAACCUUUUCCUUUGGUAAUGCUCAAAUGAAGCUGGCCAGACUCAUACCUUUAAGCUAUUUUAGUCUCCAUGUUAAGCUAGAAACAGCUAGACUGUGAUUCCCCCUGAUUAGGAGAAAAGUGUGUGUGUGUGUAUGGGGGUGGGUGGUGCUGGGGGGGUAGUGAUGGUGCUAGUAGCAGAAAGUGAGGAAUUCAAUAAGCAAGGAUUCAUUUACCACCUUGGGGUCUCUAUUAAGUCUAUUAAAGUGAUCAUAGACUUAAUAGUUAUUUGGAACCAGUCUCCUUCCCCCACUCUCCAUAUGUCCUGGAGGUAAUUCUAGAUGCCCAGGUAGAGAAGUGCCUGAGAAGGGUCAGUGGGUCACCUUGCUGUUAUUAAUCACUUGCAGAGACUAGUUCCCCAGAGCUCUCUCAGCCCUGACCCAGCAUGAUCUAUAGUAUCUUACAGCAACAAGGCAUGUGAAGCUUUAGUUCCUCCUUGCACAUCUUUCUUCUCCAAAUGUCAGCCUCAGAGAACCAUCCUGGAGAGAGGAAAAAAACUAUGUCUCUUACAUUUUCGUCAAAACAAAAGCAACAUUUAUACGUGCAUUUUUAAAAAGAGGAUUGCAAUACCCCUUUUUUAAUUUGGGUAGGUAGGUAGUAUAUAAAAUGGAGAUCAUGUAUAAAUAACAUUAGGGUAUACUUUUAUAUUUCUCUCCCAUACCUCAAAAGAUUGUUUAAUGAGCCCUUAAUUGGCAUGUCAUUGCUACUUAUCUGUCACGACUUAUGUAUGAGCACUUGCCAAAAUGUAUUCCCUGGAACCCAAGUCCUUUGAGAUGCUCAUGAAGAAACAAUUUGGUUUCAGUUUGGUCUUGGAAUUUGCUGAACACCAUCCCUCAUUUGUUAAAGGGUCUGAGGAGUCCUGCAGUCAAGACGCCUAGUUAACUUGGUUGAAUCUAGUGUUUCCUAACCUUGUUUGAUGAUGGAAUCCUUUGUGCAUGUGUGUGUUACAUUUAUUAAUAUUCCUAAUACUUACUAUAGCUGUGUGCUGAGGACAUACAGUAUAGUGACAAGAGCCUGUGCACUUAGCACUUGGGUUUGAAUCUCAGCUAUGCCAUUUACUGACUAUGUGACGUUGGACAAGUUUAUUAUCCUUUCUCUGCCUCAGGCUUUUCAUUUGAAAAAUGAGAAGAAUAAUUCUGCAUUAGGGUUGCUGUGAGGUUCAAAUGAAUCCAUAUAUUUAAAGUGCUUAAUAGAAUUCUUGUCACCAUGAAGUUUCCUGUUAUUCUUGUGGCUUUCUGUGUUCAUAAUCAGAAAAAAAACUUGGGCCUAAUAAUAGCAAUAAAUAAGAAGUGAAUGUAAUUUUACAGUUGACAGAUUUUUCUCAAAUAUGCAAACUUAAUCUUCAAAUCAAUCUUAAAAAGGAGGAAUUAUUAUUGUUACGCUCAUAUUACAGAUUAGGAAAGAAAGGCUAAGAAAUUUGGAGUGUGUUUUACAAAUGGACAGUAAAGAGGAGGGACAGGAAUCAAACAUGAGUUUCUUGAUGUCGGAUCUUGUACCUUUUCUACCAAAUAGAUUUGGUUUUCCUGUGAUUCCAAAUUAGAAUGUUAAAACUGUUCAUUUAGAAUAGCUGAGGUCUCCCUUUCCCAAGACAUACAGCUUAAAUCACUUUAAAUAAACUGGAUUAAAUACACAAGUUAAAAAUUAAAGGCAUUAGAGCAGGUGAAGUGUAAGAAAAGCAAAUAAGAUAAGUACUUUCUAAGAGUGAUAAAGCUCCUAGCUAGUAUUACAGGAGGAUGAAGAGCACUUACAUGGGAUGUACAUACAAUCAUCAGGUUAUAAACUGAAAAUCAGCACAUAUAAUCUGAGUAAGAAUCAUUAUGCUUCUUUCACAUGCAAAAGAUAACUCUAGAUGUUGACAUACUCAAUUUCUAUGACAGUUUGAUAGUUAUGGGGACAAUGAAACUGAAAUCUAGAUUUCAGUUGAAAAGAACUGAUUGAUCCUCAUUUAGUAUAAUUUAUGAUCUCCUUUAGAGCCAUGCAGAAUCAAAAAUUCAGAGAGAUCAAACGUCAGGCACUUAAUGUUACCUAGAAAACGUAAACUCUUGUCCUGGAGCUCCUUACACUAGUAUGGUGCUAUCAUUGGUAACUCAUAUUUGGGUCUCCAAUUAAUUCUGGGAUACCUAGGUGAUCUUUGGAACAUGCUUAGGGAUUGAUUUCAGGGGUGCUCUGCCAAACUAGCCUAAAUGUUUGUACAACACAUUUUUAAAAGGUAGAACUAAUGGAGGGUGGGAGUAGAACCAUAAUUCUAUUAAUUUGCCUUUUGUCAUCUUAUAACCAAACGAUCUCAUCAUGGGUUAGAUCUGUGGUGGUAAAACAUUAACAAAAUCAAGUAAAAUGCCUGUGUGGAGGUGUGGGCAAGAAAAGGGGAAAAAAUUCCUUCUGCCGACAUGACAGUGUCCAAUGAUGUGACACUAGAUUGGUCCAAUGCCACAAAUGAAGAGUCACAUGACCCUUUUCCUUUAAGUCACUGUAAUUAGAUUUUCAUGUCCCUUUCCUCCACCCUCCUUCCCACCAAAAAGAAAGUUUGUCUUUCCUUGUGAACUACUUUGCUUCUUUUGAUUAAAACAUGGGAUCUAUUUCUUGUUUUGCUUUGCCUGCCAGGGAUCUCAGAGCUAAACUUGGUGCCAAAUAAGAGUCAUGAUUGCACACAUGUGAAACCUGGUGCUGUUCCUACCCCCUUUGCAGCCAUGAUUCCUUAUAUUGAUUUCUUUCUAUAUUAAUUUGGAUAUUUGUGUAAUGAUACUGAUUUGUUUUUUUUUCUGUUGGUAGAAAUGAGAGUGAAAUGAAUGAAGAAAAGACAGAUGAAAAGCAUAAAUAUUUUCAACAAUGAGAAUUGAAAAAUUAAAGCUAUCUUCUCUUCUUUAGGACUCAAUUAACCAGAGCCCUUCUCCUCCAAACAUGUCACUUAAUGAGACUGUUACUACAAUAAUUACACUUAAACAUAGGCAUCGUGAGAAAAAUGAAAAUUAUGUUCAGAUGGGGACAUGGAAGAAUGAGAAGACUGAACCAAAUCAAUACCUGUUGACUUUUAAGAAACAGAGAAAACAAUUAAGAGCACAAGAAAGGAAAUCUCUGGGACACCUGAGGAGACAUUUCAGAGGAGAAAGAGAAUCAAUUUCCAAGUAAUUUGGAAUGGAAGCAAGUCUGGCCGCAUUCUUUAUCUGGGAGCUCCUCUAAAAUCCUCCCACCACCACCAGGGUUUGAUGGUUAGGAGACUUAGCAACAGAAAGAGUAAAAAGAGAAAAUAAGCAGCGAAGCCUGUGCUUCCAUCUCCCCAGGGCAUGCCGAAAUAUUCACUCCUAGUUCUUCUUCAGGUGUCUCCUGAUGCCUAUGGUUUUGAUAUUGCUAUUUUGUCAUCAUUGUUUAAUUUCGGAUCCUGGUUUGCAAACUUGCAUCUUUCUGAAGACCAGUAAUGAUUUCUACGUUUCAACGAGCUAUUAAGUGUGUAUGUGGGGGGCAAGUGGAAUUGCUGCUGAAUGCAUAAAUUGAUUUGCACCUACAAUUUGCAUUUAUUCUGUGGGUAUAUUUGCCACUAAUGUUGUGACUGAACUGCCAUAAUGAAGAUUAAUUAUAUAAACAUUUUUUGCUGACUUUGUGAGCA
rnacentral:lncRNA from 1 species